AAUUUCUGUAUCAAUUAAAAAUACGUUAUGGAUAAAAAAAUUUCACGUAGAAUACGAUGGUUGUGCUAAGAACUGCUAUGAGGUUGGGGCAAUUGUUAAAAAUCGAUUGAAACAUAUUAAUUUUAGCAAUACCAUGAAGCAGAGAAGUGUCUUGAAGAAUUAUUGAAGCUAGAUCAACGAAUUGACUGGGUACUCGGAGAAUUGGUUCUGGUACGGUUGAUGCAACUUACAAGUAUGGGUUUUUCUAAAAUGGACUCUCUUAAGGCUCUGUAACAAUGUUCAUCUGUUACUGAUGCAGUGACAUUGUUGACAUCAGGAAAUAUAAGUAGUUCAGAAUUAGAGAGUAAUAUUAAUACGCCCGAGAUCGAAAAUUGCGAUGGCGACGAAGUUUAUUUUUCUGACGACGAAUCAAGUAGCACAAUUUUAUUAUCCAAACUGAUAUCUGAUAUAUCAUACAAAUCUAGUUAUUUUAAAAAUCUACGAUCCCAACCAUUUUCCUCCUCUAAGGCCCAAGAGUUUUGUAGCAGCUCGGAAAGAUCUUUGAACAGUAGCAUUUCUAUGGAAUCCCUUCAGCGAACCAAUGACAAUGAUCAGUGGGAAGUUCAGGGUAACUCGAAAUCAC